rnacentral:rRNA from 1 species
GACGAACGCUGGCGGCGUGCUUAACACAUGCAAGUCGAACGAUGAUGCCCAGCUUGCUGGGCGGAUUAGUGGCGAACGGGUGAGUAACACGUGAGUAACCUGCCCUUGACUUCGGGAUAACUCCGGGAAACCGGGGCUAAUACCGGAUAUGAGCCGUCCUCGCAUGGGGGUGGUUGGAAAGUUUUUCGGUCAGGGAUGGGCUCGCGGCCUAUCAGCUUGUUGGUGGGGUGAUGGCCUACCAAGGCGACGACGGGUAGCCGGCCUGAGAGGGCGACCGGCCACACUGGGACUGAGACACGGCCCAGACUCCUACGGGAGGCAGCAGUGGGGAAUAUUGCACAAUGGGCGAAAGCCUGAUGCAGCGACGCCGCGUGAGGGAUGAAGGCCUUCGGGUUGUAAACCUCUUUCAGCAGGGAAGAAGCGCAAGUGGCGGUACCUGCAGAAGAAGCGCCGGCUAGCUACGUGCCAGCAGCCGCGGUAAUACGUAGGGCGCAAGCGUUGUCCGGAAUUAUUGGGCGUAAAGAGCUCGUAGGCGGUUUGUCGCGUCUGGUGUGAAAACUCGAGGCUCAACCUCGAGCUUGCAUCGGGUACGGGCAGACUAGAGUGCGGUAGGGGAGACUGGAAUUCCUGGUGUAGCGGUGGAAUGCGCAGAUAUCAGGAGGAACACCGAUGGCGAAGGCAGGUCUCUGGGCCGCAACUGACGCUGAGGAGCGAAAGCAUGGGGAGCGAACAGG